rnacentral:rRNA from 1 species
UUGCACAAUGGGCGAAAGCCUGAUGCAGCAACGCCGCGUGAGGGACGACGGCCUUCGGGUUGUAAACCUCUUUUAGCAGGGAAGAAGCGAAAGUGACGGUACCUGCAGAAAAAGCACCGGCUAACUACGUGCCAGCAGCCGCGGUAAUACGUAGGGUGCAAGCGUUGUCCGGAAUUAUUGGGCGUAAAGAGCUCGUAGGCGGUUUGUCGCGUCUGCUGUGAAAUCCCGAGGCUCAACCUCCGGUCUGCAGUGGGUACGGGCAGACUAGAGUGCGGUAGGGGAGAUUGGAAUUCCUGGUGUAGCGGUGGAAUGCGCAGAUAUCAGGAGGAACACCGAUGGCGAAGGCAGAUCUCUGGGCCGCUACUGACGCUGAGGAGCGAAAGGGUGGGGAGCAAACAGGCUUAGAUACCCUGGUAGUCCACCCCGUAAACGUUGGGAACUAGAUGUGGGGACCAUUCCACGGUUUCCGUGUCGUAGCUAACGCAUUAAGCUCCCCGCCUGGGGAGUACGGCCGCAAGGCUAAAACUCAAAGGAAUUGACGGGGCCCC